GCAGACCAUCACCACAUUUUCACUGCUGCUAUUGCAUUUCAACAGUAAUCAGAUGGGAUGGUAUUAUUAAAGCUUUUAAAACCUGUAAAAACAUCCGGAUAGCUUCCAUUGCCAGCAGCACCACCACCACCUCCAAAAAGAUUAUGUGUCCGGCAACAAAUCAGGGUGACUUGCACACACUUUGGAAUUCAGAUAUAUCAAAGGAACUUGCUGGUUCAUAUUAACAGAAGACACUGGCAAAAGGUAACUGAAAUUUCAGCAAAACAACACCUGUAAUGUAAAUGCAUUAAAACCAAAAAUGGCAUCUGAAUUCACUCUAAUAAUAUGCACAUGUUUGGAGUUUAUACUAACACAAAUGAAUGUCUGUGUUCUUAUGAAAACCACCUUGUUUUAUCCUGUAUUUAUUUUUAAAUGAACUAGCUACAAAAUGAUUUUUUUUUACAGGUGUGAGGAGUGAUGGAACAAUACUUAUGUGAUUUCAUGAACUGAAAUGUGUCAUGCAUUAUGAAGAGGAAGGGGACAUUCUCUUUAAAACCAUAAAAUUUUUAUUGCAAUAUGAUGAAUUCUGUCUUUAUUUGGAUUUGAAUGCCCAUAUUGUUAUUUAAUCUGUGUAUUGUUUUGUUGUAUUUCUUUAGAAAAUUGGUGAAUUCCAUUUCUCCAGGCCAUUGGAACAUGUCUGUACUGACAGAUUUUGAGGCUCUCUGUUAUGCUCUCAAGGCCAUUUGGUUUUGCUUUGGACUCAGCGGUCAUGAGAAAUAUUCAUCUGGCCUGUGAGUGGGUGGAGGAGAACCAACGCCACUUUGCUGGGAAGAUUGAACUGCCAAAGAUUUUAAGAAUGAAGGAGGAUGAUCACAAUGUGUGACUUAUUUAUAAACACAUUUUAUGAAGGUGACAUGGACGAAGAAGAAAUCCGGGCUCCUUUCUUGUUCACUUUUCAGAGACGAGAGGACAUGGAAUUUGCAGGAAAUACAAGACAAAAAUAUCCAUGUGUCUUGUUUCUUCAACCCUGACAACCCUGUGAAUAUUGUGGGAUGUUGUAAAUAUUGUAUGUAAAUAUCAUUUUGUUUUUGUAAAAUAACAUUAAUAUUCUGUGUGAAAAUAAGUGUUGUGUUCUUGAAAUAUAUUUAUAUUUUUAUAUAUUUUGUAUUAUAUUAUAUUUAUUAGAUUUUAUGUACAUAUUUAUUUUAUGUUAGAUGCACAAUUUGCUAAGUAAGGUUAAUAGAAACAAAUAAAUCCAGCAACACCUGUCAGUGGAAUAUGUGACUAUUAAAUUAUACAACUCCCAAAUGUCGGUGGAUUGGAUGCUUCACUAGUCUCUGAGCACGUGUUACCAUGUUCAUCCUGGCAUAUCACAAGGCUGGUUUCAGACUACUUUUAGACUGGUUACAUAUUGAAAAAACAUAAUGCAUAGCCUACCACGCGAAGGCUGCGUCGGUCCUCAAUUACAGUAACAUAUUCCAUUUAAAUUAUUAUAUUUACAAGAUUUUUGGAGUACGUGCAUU